GCCCCUACAACCCUGCCAGUUUGUAGCCUCUGCUUCAGAUAGAUUCCAUCUGCUCUGUCUCCAGCCGCUGGCUUCUUGUCUUGUCUCCCUGACUCCCCUCAUUUUCCUCGUGUUUUAUCUCCUUCGUUUGUGGCUCAGGCCUCCACCUUCUCAUCCGCCGUCUCCCAGGCCUGCUCCACUAGUCUCCACCUUCAUUCACAGUACAAUCUUCAUCAUCACCAACUUCAAUAAAUCAUCUUCUAACCUAGUACUUUCCCAUGUGUGCACCCGGGUUCACUGGGUCAGAAGCCCCACUUAACAGUCGACACAGAAUCGCUUCAGACUUGUGGCUAUAGCUCCAAAAGGAUAUGGGGAAGCACUUUUGUUGGAUGGAGACUGAGGCCUUCAUGCAGGCUUCAAAUCAGCCCAAGGUGGGGAACAGAGAGCU